AUAGCGGAGUGACUACUCGUCAGGCGCGCAGCAGUCAUGCUCCUACCCAGUUCCUGUUUCCGCCUUCAGUCUUCAAGACAGUUUACAACUCAAAGCAUCAUGGUCAGGCAGAAUAUAGACCUUGAAGAAAUGCAAGCUCAAUGAGAUAAAGCCAGGAAGAAGUUUUUCUCGAAGUCCCAAGUGAGGAUUCUCUGAGGCUUCUAAAAAAGAAGACCACUGAGAGACUGAGCCGUCUGUCAGUCAGUCAGAGGACUGCAGAGACACAGAGGGUGGCACCAGUGAGCUGGCCAGACUACCAGAGCCCGGCUCAGCACAAGCCCAAACCAGCCUAGCCCAGAGAGGGCCCACCCAGGAAGGCAGGCCGCAACAAUGGACCUCAACCCAUCCUAACCCCUUGCAGGAACCAUAGCCAUGCAUUAACUAACCCCACCAACCAAACCCCAACUGGACCACGCUCACCUCCUCCGUUCUCCCUACGCCCUCCAUCGCCGUUCCAACCAUGCUUCAGAGCCUAUUGUGACGGGAGUGCUGCUCACCCUCCCAUCCCUCACCCCUCCACCCCAGAGACCUCAGAGGGGUGAAAGAUGCGGCCAUGGGCAGGUUCGUGGCGCUGGAUUAUGCUGGUGCUCCUUGCGUGGGGUACACUGCUGUUCUACAUUGGAGGACACCUGGUUAGGGACAGCGAGCAUCCGGAGAGAUCCAGCAGAGACCUGUCCAAGAUCCUAGCCAAGCUGGAGAGACUGAAACAGCAGAAUGAGGACCUAAGACGCAUGGCUGAGACAC